AUGAGUGGCUGCGGGAAGCUGAGGAAGGAGCAGGAAAACAGAUUUGAUACCCCCAGGACAAAUCUUGCCACCAAGGUAUAUGAAACCAGGAGUGAACCAAAAGUAAAGUGGCAACCGAGCGCACUUCCUGAUUGGAUCAAAGUAAUGAGUUCCUCAUCCUGGUUGUCAGACAGAAGAAAGGGGCACUCUUCUCCCUCCACAUACCUGAACUACUUCUUAGGGAGAACAACAGAAAAGAGGGAAAGCAUCUGAGAGAUGGAAGGUCUUCAUCCUGGAGACACGAAGCAGUAGAUAGAUGGAGUCUUCCUACAUUGCCCAAGCUGAUCUUGAACUCCUGGGCUAAAGUGACCCUCCUGCCUUGGCCUCCCAAAAUGCUGGGAUUAUAUGGUAUGAGCCACUGCACCUGGCCACCUGGUGUGUUUUACAUUGCUAUUGUUUCCUUGAAUUUCUUGCCUUUCCCUUCAUUAGGUCAGUCGUAUGCUGCCGAUCCAUACAUCCAAAUAUUAUCCUGCAAUAUUUGGUUAAGUUGGUAUGAACUCAGAGUACGAAAGUAUAAUUCUUAAUUCUGGAGUUUCAAGAGCUAAAACCCAAGCAUAAAAUUUCUUAAUUUGGAGGAAUAUACAUACCUAGGUGAUUUUUCUUAUGCCUGGAAAUAGACAGAUUUUCUUAUUCUUGGAUUGAGGGAUGGAGAUUGAUAUUAGUAGCUGGGAGAAACAGGAGAGUUGAGCUGUGUGUCUUUGAGAACAGGAUCAGUACUUUAUCUCCAUGCCAGCCUGAAAAGCCCUGGAUUGGGGAUAAAAUCAAAUAAAAAACGUUCUGAUACGUCUGGGAAAUCUGUG
rnacentral:lncRNA from 13 species